CUUCCGUCUGAGUGUUCCAUCACGCAACAGGGAGGAAACAAGGAGUCACCCGACCUGGGUGUUCUUUUAGAAAUAUCUGUCCUUCAACUACCAAAGGAAAUGAAAACACCAGGUCCAAAGUCUAAGAAACCACAGAACGUAGGAGCCUCCUGGACCUCACAGACAGUGAAGGACAUUCACUGAGCUCCUCACAGGACAGUGAGGGCUCCCUGCUGCCGCCGCCGCCCCACACAGGGAAUAGCAGUGAUAAAGGCAGUGAGGGCAGAGACUUCUGGGCAUCACAGCUGAUGGAGGCAGGAAGUGUGAAGACCAGAGCUCCGUCCAGGAGCCCCUGUGAAGAAGCCAGGAGUGGUGGCCCUUGCUUCUAACCCCAACGCUGAGGAGGCAGAGACAGGUCCCAUGAAGUCUCAAGGGAGCCGCAUGACCUAUCUCCAUAAUGAAGAGGCUCCUGUAAAGAGGUAA